AGGGCGACUAUAUUGGUCCAGGGCAGCAGGUAUUCUGCUCGCUAACAAAACAGCCUUCAUGGCCAAGUACUACUCAGGCCUGGUGACUAGAAAGGAGCUGAAUUUGGCGCAGAGUAGCAACCAUUCUGCUCACUAGAUAAAACAGUCUUCAAACUCGAGCGCAAGAGAUGGGACUGCCUACUUGGCGGCGAGGAGCAUUUUGGUCCAGAACAGCAACUACCCUUCUAGCUAGACAAAUUGGCCUUCGGUGUCUACUACUACUCAGAAAUGUUGGCCGGGAAGGAGCUAAUUUUACCUUGCAGAAAUCAGCAUUCCGCACACCAUGCAGAACGGCCUUCAGCCUCGAGAACAAGGAGAAUGGUGUGCUCGGUUGUCUUGGACAGGCCUAAUGUCCCCUGUGACAGGUCAGCCAGCAGCGACAAAGUCAUUAUUAUCGGGGUGCACACCCACCUUCCAGGCAACGGGGACAGCUCAACACCGACGAUGUUUUCUUUUUCUAUUGUGGUGGGCAUCUGACUACUGUAAGCGAAGCCAACACACUAGCAGCACCAUGUGCCGUCGUCAUGGACGCUGACAAGACACCACCUAUUGGCUGGAGACGCUGUGGUACUGCUGCUAUCACAACAGAAGUGUUAUGACAUUGUGAGGCUAACAUCAGUACAGUCAGAAAUGUU